AUUUCUGGGGAGAGCUGAAGGCCUGGAGUCUCACGCCAUCAGUCAUGUCUAGGGACAGUCAGCUUCACCCAUCUCCAUUUCUUCUCGAGAUCUGGGACAAGUGAUAGUCUUUCUUACAGGGGUACCAAGGAUUACAUCAAGAAAGCAAAACCAUAGCAUUCACCACGCUGAUCCUGCAGGCUGACCCAAGAGAUGACAUCCUCGUCUAUAUUCACACUACCAGCUUCUGUAGAAUUGUGCUUCGACUGUAUUUCUCUCCUCUGUUCCUGGAGACAGUGAUUUAUUCUUUCUAAAUCAGGUGACAGAAUUGGCUAAAUUGAGUUGUUAAAGGCUAAAUUGUGCCACUGGGAUUGCUGAGAGGCAGUGCAUGUGGAGGCUGUUCCAGGAGCAGCCCGGAACGGGAGCUGGGACCCAAAGCAGCAGCUGCUUCUCUCCUUCUUUCCUGCUUUCCAAGAAACUGCUUUCUGUACUUCUGGUAGGAAUGCCGGAUCACAUCUCGCAUCCUCCGGGUGCCUCAGCCUGCUUGAAACUGCCCUCACCUGGAUAAUAAAGGCUGGGUCUCUGCCAUUAUUUUGCUGAAACCUUUACAAGCCAUUUUUACCCCACCUGGAUGGGAAAAAAUAAUCUUUUCUGGUGGAAAAAUUCACAUGCUAUCAAAACAUAUGUCUGCCCAUGCUCUCUGCAAUCCCAGUGCUGUCUCUGCAGCUCUUCUCCUUUCUCCAUCAUCUUCCCUUCUUGAUGUUUAUCAAAUUCAGCAGUCAGGAAAGACCUGUCCUGCAUAGCUUCCCCGGCCUUCAUUUCUGCAUGCCAGGUGGGGGCAGCAGCCUUCAAACCUGCAGAUGGUGCUUGCCUUUCUGUGAACGUGAGUGGGAAGGAGGAGAAUGGGCUGGGCUCACACGCUUGGGCUCAGAGGCAGCAUUAGUUGGGUCUCCACUCCUGAAGUCCAAAGCAGUGAACUACAGCUCUGGACCUCUAUUGUCAAAGCUUCCUGAUUGCUAAUUUACUGCCCAGCUCCUUUUGGGGCCUCUUGAACGCGUUCUGAGACAAAUAUGCAAUGGAGAGGUCCGGCCUCAAGUAGGGCAGCUACAAGCCAGUCAUCACCAACUGCCCUCGGGAACAGCAGCCAGUUGCUGGCUGUGCUCUUCAGCUGCGUAGAUGCAAAGCAUCUUUCCCAAAGUGGGAGAGAAAAAGGAGGCAGGAAUGAAUGAUGAAAUCCUUAAGUAAAACAUUUUGUUUGCUCUGCCUCUGCACCCAUUUCCAUCUUGUUUGAGGUUAUUACUGCAACAUUAUUUAUGCUUCAAACACAGGAAAUUUUUUCAAAGUCAUGAAUAGCUUCAUGAACUUAAGAAAAGACUCAGAAGGAGCUGUUUUUUCUCUGUUUGAAGUCCUAGCACAGUUAAAGUUUCUGUAAUAAAACUGUCAGUCCAUAAAGUUGGGCUGCUAAGACCACAGAUGAAAUGUAGUUAUUCUAAAGCAACUGAGCAGCCAACAGCUCCUCUGAAAAGUAGUGAUAGUUUCUAGGAACCCAGCACUUUUGAAAAGUCUUUCAAUUUAAUCCUGAGUUUUCCAGAGGAAUAAUGAACAGUAAAUUUCAGUGACUUAAUUUUCAAAUGCUCAUGUUGAAAUAGCCUUAGGACUCUCUGAUCACUCCUGCUGCCAGCUCUCAGACAUCCCAGCAGUAAAAAUCAACUGCCUAAGUAGCAGCUGCUGAAUCACCGCAUGUUGCAGGUCUGUAUUUCCAGGAAAACUGGCUGUGAUUUUAGGUUAUCCCGCAAUGCUGGGUUGAUUAAACUGCAUUGACCUUCAGCAGGACUCUGGGCAUCCAAAACAGUGAGCCAGGUGAGUGGCUUGGAGGAGGCUCUUUUAGGCAAGCUGCCCCCUUUGCCUUUGUUUUCAGUCACCUUUUGUUCUGAGGCUUCUUGAAAGUUCUUCAAACUGCAAAUGAAGGAAGCAGUGUUCCCAUGAUUCCUAUUAGCUUUUCGAAUUCUGGGUUUAGACCAGUAGAUGUGGCUUUAGACAUCCGUGUUUGGACCUCCUGUCAAAAACAACAACAGCAUGAAAAUUACGAAAAUUGGUCGUGGAUUGGGACUGCAGAGCUGCUGAUCACACCGGCAGACUCUGCUUUUGGUUUCUCUCUGCUGGGCUGAGCUUUGAACGCACAUGAAAAAGAAUGGAGAAGUUGAAAUAAGCCAGUUAAAACUCUCAAAAGAAGCGUUUUUAAACACAGAAGCAUUCAGAGAACAAAACCUCCUUUUCAGCACUCCUGGCUCUUUCCUAGGGGCCGUUUCUUACAUUUCUGCUAAAUCAGUUGAGAAAGUCACUAAAGCAUAGCAACAUCGCUGUGUUCCUAUGAAAAAAGCACCAAAGAUCCUUGAGAAAACUCUGAACAGCGCAGAAAGCAAGAACAAAUGUUUUAUAUAUGUGGUAUUGUUAAAACUCCCAAGUGGCAUAAAUAUAAUAAACAAUAGUGAAGAAUGGGAUAUUUCUGCUUGUUUCCACACACUCAAGAUGACCUAACCUACCUCAGGCAUGGUUCCACUUUGUGACUUGUGAGUUAUUUGAUCGUUCCAAACUUGUGAAAAUAAACACUAUUAUUCUACUGUU